CGGACGGGUGAGUAACGCGUGGGGAACCUGCCCUGUACAGGGGGAUAACACUUAGAAAUAGGUGCUAAUACCGCAUAAGCGCACAGUAUCGCAUGAUACAGUGUGAAAAACUCCGGUGGUACAGGAUGGACCCGCGUCUGAUUAGCUGGUUGGCGGGGUAACGGCCCACCAAGGCGACGAUCAGUAGCCAGCCUGAGAGGGUGAACGGCCACAUUGGGACUGAGACACGGCCCAAACUCCUACGGGAGGCAGCAG
rnacentral:rRNA from 1 species